UGGGGGAAGGACCACGCCUCCCUACUCCCGGGCCAAUCCCAUGCCAGGAAGUAGGGGGGUGGGACCCUUGGGGCACACUGGGGGAUCCAGUUCUCCUGGCCACAAUAUUUUAAAACUGGCUCCUGCCAUUUCAGUUCCAGCUCCCAUUUUCUGUCUCCUGGAUACAACGGCAACCCAAUACCAGCACCUUGAAUACUACCUUGGAUAUAGAAGAUCGUCAAUAAAAACUUGUUGAAUUAAAGACAAAGAAUCCCACUGAGCAAUGUGUACACCAUUAAGAUUACCUGUGAACAUAGUUUCUCGGUAUUCAUAUCUGAUAUUCUGCAAUCCAUAUUGUCUCUCUCCCUUCCUACACCUCCCAUCUUCCCAAGAAGUCAGGCAUGGAGAAUCCCCUGCCAGAUUGACAAACUGGGAGCCCUGGAUACUAAAUUUAUCCAGAAUCCAUUUGGGGCAGCAUAUUGGUGGGAAGACCUCAGAGAAAGGAAGCUUUUCUCCAUUACUGCAUUACUCACAAGACCAGGAUGAGAUUCCUAUUGUCAACACUGUGGGAUCUCCCAUGGUGAGGGAGAACUCUAGCUGAGCAUAAUGUAAAGGAAUCCCAAAUUGAAUGAAUCUUAGAGACUGGGCAGGUCAGC
ensembl:lncRNA